UGUUGGGGUCUUAGCGGUUGUCGAGAGUCUGUUUGUUGCUUGUUUUUGUGCUAAAUACCAGUGUUGGGGUCUUAGCGGUUGAGGCUUUUAGCAGACAAGAUUUCCCUACUGGCUUUGUCUUUGGCGCUGGAACCUCAGCUAAUCAGGUGGAAGGAGCAGCAAACGAAGAUGGGAGGACUCCCAGCAUUUGGGAUAGUUCUUUUGCUCCUAGUGCCGUAUUUGAACAACCUUACAAGAGGAUCCAUCAAAUAAUCAUCUUGGGUGUCCUCUACUGAAAAAAUGGAGAAGAGCUGGAAACUAGCUUUACUCCUCCUGCAUAUAUUUCUAAAAGACUCUGCUCUUCAUAAGUCCAGAACCAGAAACUGAGCCAACCUCUUCAUCAUCAUCAUCAACAUCUCCAUGAGAAAAAGAGAGUUUUACCAAAAACCGCUAUUGUAAAAGAGAUAGAAUCCAACCAGUAUUGAAAGAGAGAAGCGAGGAAAACCUGAUUGGUGAACUUCAGCAGAGAUCGGUGAACUUCAGCAGAGAUCUGUUCGAAUUUGUUGAAGGCACGGCUGACUAUUCGAGAUCUGUUCAAUGAAAGUUAGCUGGUGUGCGUGGGUCGACGAGCGGUGAACGUUUCGCAGGCCAGUGAAGGAGCUGGUCGAGUGACGAAGGUGAGAGAGAAGAGAGGCCAAGGUGAGAGAACAGGUGGAAACAUCUUUUUGAUGUUUUCCCAAUUUUGUUUUUUUUUUUUAACUUGUUUUCAGAAUUUGUUUUUAGAAACAAAUGGCCACACAGGUAUAAAAUUGUUUUGGAAACAAAUUUCUGUUUUCAAGAACAGAAAACUGUUCUGAAAACAGCUGGCCAAACAGG